CGAGCGGCGGACGGGUGAGUAAUGUCUGGGAAACUGCCUGAUGGAGGGGGAUAACUACUGGAAACGGUAGCUAAUACCGCAUAACGUCGCAAGACCAAAGUGGGGGACCUUCGGGCCUCAUGCCAUCAGAUGUGCCCAGAUGGGAUUAGCUAGUAGGUGGGGUAACGGCUCACCUAGGCGACGAUCCCUAGCUGGUCUGAGAGGAUGACCAGCCACACUGGAACUGAGACACGGUCCAGACUCCUACGGGAGGCAGCAGUGGGGAAUAUUGCACAAUGGGCGCAAGCCUGAUGCAGCCAUGCCGCGUGUGUGAAGAAGGCCUUCGGGUUGUAAAGCACUUUCAGCGGGGAGGAAGGCGAUAAGGUUAAUAACCUUGUCGAUUGACGUUACCCGCAGAAGAAGCACCGGCUAACUCCGUGCCAGCAGCCGCGGUAAUACGGAGGGUGCAAGCGUUAAUCGGAAUUACUGGGCGUAAAGCGCACGCAGGCGGUCUGUCAAGUCGGAUGUGAAAUCCCCGGGCUCAACCUGGGAACUGCAUUCGAAACUGGCAGGCUAGAGUCUUGUAGAGGGGGGUAGAAUUCCAGGUGUAGCGGUGAAAUGCGUAGAGAUCUGGAGGAAUACCGGUGGCGAAGGCGGCCCCCUGGACAAAGACUGACGCUCAGGUGCGAAAGCGUGGGGAGCAAACAGGAUUAGAUACCCUGGUAGUCCACGCCGUAAACGAUGUCGAUUUGGAGGUUGUGCCCUUGAGGCGUGGCUUCCGGAGCUAACGCGUUAAAUCGACCGCCUGGGGAGUACGGCCGCAAGGUUAAAACUCAAAUGAAUUGACGGGGGCCCGCACAAGCGGUGGAGCAUGUGGUUUAAUUCGAUGCAACGCGAAGAACCUUACCUGGUCUUGACAUCCACAGAACUUUCCAGAGAUGGAUUGGUGCCUUCGGGAACUGUGAGACAGGUGCUGCAUGGCUGUCGUCAGCUCGUGUUGUGAAAUGUUGGGUUAAGUCCCGCAACGAGCGCAACCCUUAUCCUUUGUUGCCAGCGGUUCGGCCGGGAACUCAAAGGAGACUGCCAGUGAUAAACUGGAGGAAGGUGGGGAUGACGUCAAGUCAUCAUGGCCCUUACGACCAGGGCUACACACGUGCUACAAUGGCAUAUACAAAGAGAAGCGACCUCGCGAGAGCAAGCGGACCUCAUAAAGUAUGUCGUAGUCCGGAUUGGAGUCUGCAACUCGACUCCAUGAAGUCGGAAUCGCUAGUAAUCGUAGAUCAGAAUGCUACGGUGAAUACGUUCCCGGGCCUUGUACACACCGCCCGUCACACCAUGGGAGUGGGUUGCAAAAGAAGUAGGUAGCUUA
rnacentral:rRNA from 1 species